CAACGGCAUUUCUGGCCCUCCCCUUGUCUCUGAUUGGUCAGCAGAAGCGCCGCCGGCUCCAAUUGGCUGAGGGGCAGAGCGCGCCGUUGGCAACCGGCUCGGAAUCGCCCAGCUGUCCCCUCAGACGGCAGCCCGUGGCCGUCCCCUUCGCCGUGGGAUGCGGGGAUUUGGGGCGGCUGAAGGAGUCGGGGCCCCCACCACCGCAGCGCUGCUGCCCUCACAGGGGCCGGGCCCCCCCGAGCCUCCAGUGCUUGUUGAGGUGCCUCCCGGGGCUGAGGUGGUCUGUGGGUGUAGGGGCAGUGGGGGAGAUGUGGUGGCAGUGUAAGAGCUGAGGGGCUUUGGGGGCUAUUGGGGGAUGUGGGAGGAUAUGGGGCUGUAGGGUGCUGUGUGGGGAUCUCGAGGGAUAUGGGGAUAUCGGUGGGUUUUGGGAAUAGAGGGGGAUGGAGGGAUGUGGGGCCCACAGGGGGUGCUAUAGAGGGAUGUAGGGCUGUGCGUGGGUUGUAGGAGGAGAUGGGGCUGUAGGGGGCUGUGUUGGGAAUCCAGGGAGGGUGUGAGGGGCCAUGGGGAGGCCAGAGGGAGAAAUGGGACUGUAGGGGGUAUAGGGUAGGGCUUUGGGGCGACAGGGGGCUGUAGUGGGUUACAGGGGUGGAUAUUGGGGGAUAUGGGGCUGUAGUGCUCUGUG
ensembl:lncRNA